AUGGAGAAGCAACAAGCCAGAGUAGAAGAGGUGGAGCAAACCCUCCAGAAGGUGAAGCAGCAGGAGGAAAAAAGUGAGACCCAGAAUGCUGUCCUGGAUGCUGAGGUCCAGCAGCUGAAGUGUAGACUAAAUGAGGCCCACGAAGGCCAGAAGCUGAUUGUUCAGCAGCUGACGUAUGCUGAUGAACAGGCAGCUCUGCUAAAAGACAGCCUAAACCUUACCCAACAGAAACUGGAAGCUAAAAUAUCUGAGAAUAAAGAAAAGAAUGAUCUUAUCGACAGAUUAUCCAAUCAACUUGAAAGACAUCAAGAAGAUUCAUCCACAGCAGUGAAUCUACUGGAAACAGAAAGAAAGAAUCUUGAAAUUCUGACAUCAGAGCUUCAAGUAUCCAAUAGGAAACACCAGAAUGCAGAAAAGAAAAUUGCAGAACUUCAGAAAACAAUGGAUCAUAUGAAACCGCAGCUGAGACAAUGCAAGGAGAAGAUGAAGGAACUUGAGGAGCAGCUCAAAGAGGAACGUAAUAGUAAUAGGAUUCUACGAAAUCAACUGAAACAGCUAAAGAAUGAGCAAGAAGAUAGCCAAGACUUGAUGCUAAAUUGGAUGACCCAAGAAAAAGAGCUGAAGGAUCAAAUUAAGGCACUCAAGCUGGAGAUCCAAAACAAUAAGCAACUGGUGAGACAUGUUAUGUAG
rnacentral:lncRNA from 1 species